AAUAUUAAUGUUUAUAAAGAUAUUUAAAUUUAAGUUAAUUAAUUUAUUAUAAGAUAAAUAAAAAUUAAUAAUAUAUUAAUUGAAUUUAUAUAAAUAAAAUUUAUUGUAAAUAAUAAAAUAAAAAUUUAAAUAAUUUUAUUUAUUAAUAUAAAGUAAUUAAAAUUUAAAGAAAUUUAAAAUUUAUUAAUUUUAUAAUAUAUUUUAAUUUUGUGCCAGCUAAAGCGGUUAAACAAUUUAUAUAAAUAAAUUUAAAUUAAAUUUAAAUUUUUAAUAUAUUAAAAAAAUAAUUUUUUUAAAGUGAAAUUUAAAUUUAUUAAUAAAUUAAUAAAUAAAAAAAUUUAAAGUUAUAGAAAUAAACUAGGAUUAGAUACCCUAUUAUUUUAAUUUAUUUUGGGAGUAGUUUAAUAAAUGAAAUUAAAUAAAUUUGGCAGUAUUUUUUAUGUUUAAAGGAACUUAAUAUUUAAUUUGAUAAUACACGAUUUGAUAAACUUUAAUUAAUUUUAUAUAUUUUCGUUUAAAAAUUAUUUGAAAUUUAAAUUUAAAAUUUUUUAUAUUAAAAUAAUUCAGAUCAAAAUGUAGAAUAUUAAAGAAUUAUGGAGUUACAAUUAUUUUUAAUAAUGAAUUUAAUAAUUAAAUUUAUUAAUGAAAUUGAAUUUAAAAGUAAAUUUAUUAAGAUAUUUAAAUUGAUAUUUAAAUAAAAUAUGUUCAUAUUGCCCGUCAUUCUAAUUUUAGAGAAGUCGAAACAAAGUAAAGAUAUUGGAAAAUGUUUUUAGUUA
rnacentral:ncRNA from 1 species